CAGGUGCCCGCAUACGCCGUGGCGGUGGUGAUCAAGGCGCGCACAACCGAUUCUUUCCUUGGCAAUGUAAGCCCAUGGCCCGCAGCGUCGGCGAGGAGGUCGGCGACUUUUUUGGGAUCUGCAGGCAGGCAGCCGUCGGCCACACCCGACACAUUCAGCAACAUCCAGUAUUGAACAAGGUUAAGGGUGCGUCCGUCGGCAAGGGUGACGGUUGUGCGCACGGGGUCGAGCAUGGCCAGUCGACGCGUUCCUUGGCCGCAUGCGUCGAGGGCCGCCUGGCAAUGAGCGACCAUGCCCAGGGAUUCGGCCAAGGGACGCACGAGAUCCCACGAGUCAGGGUGUCGGUAGUAGGACGAGAGCCCCCGAAAGACGACAAACUUGCGCACGCGUUGAUCCUCUUGAAUGGCCGCGAUCUGCGACGCCGCCCUCGACAGGCGCACGCCGGCAGACAGGUUGGGGUGCGUGCACGCCAGCAAUUGCAUGACCGCCAGGACCCACGGACGCGCGCGGCACGAUGCCAACACCAUGUCGAGCAACGGCGGAUCGGCCGAAAAGACGGCGCGCAUGUCGACGCCGCGGCGAAGCAGCCGACGAUACACACGCAAGGGCAGGCGCGCAUCCGCGGGGAUCUCACAUGUGACGCGCGCGGGGUCGUUGCUGUGGGGCACAGCGCACGGCCACCAAAAGGCAGUGCGGCACAGAGGACAGCACGCGCUUUGCCGAGCCCGCCCAUCACACAGCAGGCGCUUGAUGCAGGCGCAACAAAAGGCAUGGCAGCACGGCAGUCGGUAGAGGGCCAACUUGCUCAUACACACUGGGCACUCGUCGACAAAUGUCGGGAUCGGCUGUAGCGGCGCCGACAUGUCUCGGCGUCAGCGGUUUCCUAGCGUGCCCGUCCGCGGCUUCACAGAUGCACCCUCCAGGUGCACAGAGCGAUCACCUGGACGCAAAAACAAAAAAAAGAAAACAAUAUACGAGCACGGCCGAUCCUUGCGUGUGUGAGCGUCGGGCAAUGCGCCGCGCGGCGGUCAAACCAAUCCCCUCUUUUUUUUUCUUUUUGCACUAGACGGCAGUGAAUCAGUGUUUGCCGUGGUCCAGACCGAAAACCACCGCGACCAACC
rnacentral:lncRNA from 1 species